rnacentral:rRNA from 1 species
UACGAAGGACCCAAGCGUUAUCCGGAUUUAUUGGGUUUAAAGGGUGCGUAGGCGGGUUAUUAAGUCAGUGGUGAAAGCCUGCAGCUUAACUGCAGAAUUGCCAUUGAUACUGAUGAUCUUGAGUAUGAUUGAGGUGGGCGGAAUGUGUCAUGUAGCGGUGAAAUGCUUAGAUAUGACACAGAACACCGAUUGCGAAGGCAGCUCACUAAGCCAUAACUGACUCUGAUGCACGAAAGCGUGGGGAGCAAACAGG